CAGGGAAUAGUUUAAAUUAAAAUUUUAAUUUUGGAGAUUAAAGAAAGAUGAAAUAUUUUUCCUUGA
rnacentral:tRNA from 1 species